GUCAACGAUUGCCCAGCCAUAGGGCCCACUUAGCGAGGUCACACUUCGCUAGUAUAAGGUAUAAAGUAUAAAAUAUAGCGAGUUCACACAUCCCUGGCAAGUUUGGUACAGGUACAUCGAGUUCACAAUUCACUGCUUUUUGAAAAACAUAAUAUGAACGGCCCCUUUUGAUUUGAUUUGACCAAAUAAUCGCCAUGAACACACGCCAAAUUAUAUACACC